rnacentral:rRNA from 1 species
AGUUUGAUCCUUGGCUCAGGACGAACGCUGGCGGCGUGCCUAACACAUGCAAGUCGAACGGGAGUUCCUGAGAAUUGAAGCUUCGGCAGAUUUUUUCUUGAACCUUAGUGGCGGACGGGUGAGUAACGCGUGACGGAACCUGCCUUCCAGAGGGGGACAACAGUUGGAAACGACUGCUAAUACCGCAUAAUGCAUUUUUUUCGCAUGAAUUAAAUGCCAAAGAUUUUAUCGCUGGAAGAUGGCCUCGCGUCUGAUUAGAUAGUUGGUGGGGUAACGGCCCACCAAGUCUACGAUCAGUAGCCGGACUGAGAGGUUGAACGGCCACAUUGGGACUGAGACACGGCCCAGACUCCUACGGGAGGCAGCAGUGGGGAAUAUUGCGCAAUGGGGGGCAACCCUGACGCAGCAACGCCGCGUGAAGGAAGAAGGUCUUCGGAUUGUAAACUUUUGUCUUUAGGGAAGAUAAUGACGGUACCUAAGGAGGAAGCUCCGGCUAACUACGUGCCAGCAGCCGCGGU